UUCAAAGAGGUGACCUAUAUGGUUUUGAUACCGUCUCAAGCCAUGGGCUUUUGGGGAACGCUUCUGGUUUUGAUCUUCCUUGAGCCAAGCUGGGGACAGGAACAAACCAGAUACAUCAUUUCAACCCCAAUCGUCUUCCGAGUUGGAGCUCCUGAAAAUAUUACAGUUGAAGCCCACGGCUACACUGAGGCAUUUGACACAACCAUCUCUGUAAAAAGUUAUCCUGAUGAAAAUGUUCAUUACACUUCGGGCACUGUUAAUUUAUCACCAGAAAAUAAAUUCCAAAACUCUGCAGUCUUAACAAUUCAGGCCAAACAGUUGUUUGAAGGACAAAACUCGUUUUCAAAUGUGUAUUUGGAAGUCGUGUCAAAGCAUUUUUCCAAAUUAGAAAUGAUGCCAAUCAUCUAUGACAACAGCUCUCUCUUCGUUCACACCGACAAGCCUGUGUACACUCCACAACAGCCUGUAAAGGUUGGCGUCUACUCAGUGGAGAAUGACUUAGUGCCAGUCACCAGAGAAACAGUCUUAACUUUCAUAGACCCUGAAGGAUUCGAAGUUGACAUAAUAGAGGGACACAAUCACACGGGGAUUGCCUCCUUUCCUGACUUCGAGAUUCCUUCUAAUCCUAAACAUGGUAGAUGGACAAUUAAGGCUAAAUAUAGAGAAGAUGCUUCAACAACUGGAACUACAUACUUUGAAGUUAAAGAACAUGAUAAAGCUUACAGAAUAACUGUCAUGCCCGCAACUGAUCUGCAACCUGAGGUGGAAAAGCAAGAAGAAGUACAUGACAUGUGUCACCAGCCAUCAGAUUGUCUGGAACAGAAAAUAAAAGAACAAGCUUCUAAAUACAAACAUCCAAUGAUAAAGAAAUGCUGUUACGAUGGAAGCAAACAUAAGGUCCGUGAGACCUGCGCACAGAGGGCUGCCCGCGUGAAGAUAGGCCCGGUCUGUGUCAGAGCUUUCACUCACUGCUGUACCGUGGCACACCAGAUCCUAGGCGAUAGCACCUUUAAGCAUGUCCAUGUGGCAAUGGGCCUCGGCAGGUCCAGUCCAGAGGAGAGAGAGGUCCUGGUCUUGCUGGGUCUCCCCGAAGCUGAGCGGGACGGUAACUAAAUUGUAAUUGAUACCUGUAAGGCUCAGGCUAUAGACACAUUCACACAUUCAAAGUACAAUUCUUCGGUCUGUUAAAGAGGAAUUUUGAAAGGCUGAGAAAAAUCACUCCAAAUGGCUAAAAACAACUAAGUCUUUUCUCCCAGACAGACACCUAGCAUAAUUGUCCUUUGAGAGCCUCCGCCCAGCAGCCAAUGGAAAGAGAUGCAGAGAUCCACAGCCCAACAUUAAAUGGAGCUCGAGGAGUCUUAUGGAAGAGCUGGAAGAAGGAUGAGGGACCUAAAGAAGACAGGGACUCCACGGGAAGACCAACAGAGUCAACUAGCCUGGGCCCUUGGGGGUUCCCAGAGCCUGAAUCACCAAACAAAGAACAAGGACUGACUGGACCUAGGCCUCCUGCACAUAUGUAACAGGAGCAGCUUGGUCUUUCUGCGGGUCCCCUAACAACUAACUGGAGAAGCUGUCCCUGAAUCUGUCACCUGCAUGCCUGUGGAUCCUGUUCCCCUAAAUGGUCUGCCUUGUCUGGCCUCAGUCGGAGAGGAUGCACCUAGUCCUGCAGGGACUUGAGUGUGUGGGGGUAACACCCAGAGUGGGGCUCCUGCUUCGCAAAGUAGAAGGAGAGGGUGGAAUGGGGGGUGGAGAUCUGCAUGAGGGGGUACUGGGAGGAGACAGAGGGUUGAUAUUGUGAUGUAAAGUGAAUAAAUGCAUUUAAUGAAAAAUGAA